UUGAUCAACCUCACAAACCGGAAGUAAAUGUCAAGGGGGCGUUCAGGGCCCUCUGUCAAAAGUCCGUCCGACACCUUGUUGUUAAAAGUGAAGGGAGGAUGCUAGGAGAAGGCAACUAAGGGGUUAAAAACGAGCAGGAGACCGCGCAGCAGCGGCAGUCAUCCCGCCUGGGUGGAGUGAAAGGUUUGCCAUGAAGAGCCGCUAAUUAGCCCGACCAGACGGCCGCCACUCGGGGGGGGGGCUCCAACGUGGAAACAUCCGCAAAAAGGCAGAGCCUGAAGUAGCCGCGGGGACGUGAUCAAGCUAAUCAAGCUAAUCGAGCUAACGGCUAACAUGAGCGACGUGAGCGAAGAGUCGCUGCUGGAUUACUUUUACUCCACGGCGGGCAGCUCCGCCAGAGUCCGAAAUGCCGACAUCCUCAAGACUUUUAAGCCUUUUAUCGGACACAAUGACCCCCAGCUGCGUGCAAAAUACAGAGAAGAAUUCAAGCUCAUCAUUGACCGCAUUGCUGUUGUCAAGUCGGAAAAUGGUGAGAAGUACCUUUUCCUCAAGAAGAAGUACAGGCAGCUGCUGCAAGCGCGGGACAACCAGGACAAACUUCCCAGGCAGGACGAGGACGAGCGGAGAUGUCCCGGUCCUGGCAGUGCGCCGGCGACCGAGCAGCCUCGCCGGCGUCAGGACGAGUUAAUGGCGCACAAUGAGCCAGACGGCGCUGAAGAGUGGGAGUCGGAGCAGGACGACGAUUCGACAGGAAGUAUGGGCUCGGCUGCAGUCGCCUUGGACCCCAUAGAAAAGGAGUGGAUCUACUUUGCGGCCGGCGCUCGAGUCCCUGACCUGUGUCAGCUGCUCCGUCAGGACCCCUCGCUGGCCAACAAGAAGGACUUCACAUCGGGGGUAAGUGCCCAUUUUCUAAUAACUCAGCAGUCACAAAUAUUUACUCAAGUUCUUGUCGUGUGUAUCCUUUCAUGUGUGGGUGUUUUGGGCGUCCGUGAUACUUGCCCGCCCUCGGCGUCGGCGGCGCGCUUGUGUACCUUUCACCAGCUCAUUCCGAGAUUUCCUUCUCAGGAAUUCCGAGAAGGCGGUGUUAAAACAUCCAGAUCAUGCAUUUCAAAGGUCCACUAUCAAAAGGAUUAUGGAAGAUAGCUUUUUAGCUCCUGACCACCCCCCCACGCCCCCCCCCCUCUCUCUGACAACCCAAAUCCUUUUAUUUGUUCCCUCCACUCCGUGCGCUUAAAAGAUUUGAGCUGAUGUUUGUUGUCCCUCCCCAGCGUCACGGUUCUCACACGGCCCCAGCAGACCACCUUCUAAGGCCCGCCGUCCCCACCCGGACAAGAUAGCGCGCCCUCCAUUGAAGUGCACGGAGAUGAGAGUGGAGUAGGGAGUGGGGGGGGGUCAGGGAUUAAGGAGAGUCUUAAUUCCCCACAAAGACUUCACCUACUUAAAGAUAAUCUGAAAGUAAUAGAGCAGGCUGGGAUUAAUUGGACAACAAUGGCGCUUGUGUCCCGGGGAGGGGGCUAAGUCCCCUUUGGGCCGCUUUGAUGUUCCCUUUUAGCUUCCCCGUUGCUUGGAGGAAGAUGCUCGCAGAGGUCACAUGACUCCUGAGAGCCGCAUCGCACCCAGGGUUCGGGUCGGGUUUUUUUUCCGAAAUUUGACCAAAACUGAAGAAAGGAUUUCUGGUUUUCUGUGGUUUUAUUCAGCCUUGCAGGGGGGGCUCAUGUCAUGUGUUUGUGUCUCUUCUCUCCUCAUGACGGACGCCUCCCGACCCCCUCUGGGACCUGGUCUUCCUCCCCGGGGCUAACAGUUUGUAAGUACAUCAUCUGCCCAUCACUCCUCUUCCUUGGGACCGGGGUGGGAGGGUGUUGGUCCAGAGUCCCAAGAGCCAUCCCUCAAGCGCUGAAACAGGCGGGGGGUCAGGAACAGAAAACGAGGGACGCAGGAAGGGGAGACGCCGCAUCCUGUUCCUGCUCGUCCGUCACUCUGCCCCAGUAGGAGACCCCAGUAGGAGACCCCGAUACGAGCGGCGCUUUGGCCAAUCUGUCUCGUCUGGUGACAGCGGGCACACAAUGGAGACGCUAAAUCCAGACCACAUCUACCGCCAUCUGUCUCCUGCACGCCACCGGCCUCACGCUCGCCUGGGGGAGCAGGCCUCGCCCGGCCAAGGCCAAACUCGUGAAGAACUGCACUCUCACAGCAAAGAUGCAGUAGACGGCCACAAAGAGACCGAAAUUGAAGUCACCAGACAUUAAAUCCACAUCAGGGCUGUCCAAGCUGUGGCGCGUUCUAAAAACACAACGGCAAAAAUGUUUGGAAAAUUAGGUUAUAAGUUAAGUUAUAGUAAAUAAGUAAGUAGUAUAGUAAGUAUGGGAAUAAAGUCAUAAUGCCAAAAUAAAAUAUACAAAGAUGAAAGAUGAAAAAAAAAUUAUUUGAAGGAGGAAACAUUUUUUUCAAUUUUCUGAGAAUAAAUUCCUAGUAGGAGGGAAAAUAAUGUUUUAGUAGCAUGAAAUUGAAAUAUUCAAGUAAAACAAAUCCAUAAUUAUUCUAAAAUUAGGUUGGGGGGAAGGUUAUAAUAAAGUUAUAGUAAAAAAAUAAAAUAAAGUUAUACUAAGUUAUAGUAAGUAAGUACAUGAAUUAAGUCAUAAUUCCAAAAUAAAAUAUAUAAAGAUGAAGAAAAUUAAAAAAAAUAUUCAAGUGAAACAAAUCCAUAAUUAUUCUAAAAUUAUUUUUUUUGGGGGGGGGGGUUAUAAUAAAUUCACUAAGUUAUAGUAAGUAAGUACGGGAAUUAAGUCAUAAUUCCAAAAUAAAAUAUACAAAGAUGAUGAAAAUAAAAAAACAGCCAAAACAAAGUUGUUAUUUUUGGAAACUUUUAUGAGAAUAAAGUCAAAGUUUUGUAAAUAAAUAAAAAAAAAUAUUCGAAGGAGGAAAACAUUUUUCAAUUUUUUGAGAAUAAUUUCCUAGUAGGAGGGAAAAUAAUGUUUUAAUAGCAUGAAAUUGAAAUAUUCAAGUAAAACAAAUCCAUAAUUAUUCUGAAAUUAGGUUGGAGGGGUUAUAAUAAAUACACAAAGUUAUAGUAAGUAAGUACGGGAAUGAAGUCAUAAUUCCAAAAUAAAAUAUACAAAGAUGAAGAAGAAAAUUAAAAAACAGCCAAAACAAAGUUGUUAUUUUUGGAAACUUUUAUGAGAAUGAAGUCAAAGUUUUGUAAAUAAAUAAAAAAAAAUAUUCGAAGGAGGAAAACAUUUUUCAAUUUUCUGAGAAUUCCUAGUAGGAGGGAAAAUAAUGUUUUAAUAGCAUGAAAUUGAAAUAUUCAACUAAAAAAAAUCCAUAAUUAUUCUAAAAUUAGGUUGGGGGGGUUAUAAUAAAUACACUAAGUUAUAGUAAGUAAGUACAGGAAUGAAGUCAUAAUUCCAAAAUAAAAUAUACAAAGAUGAAGAAAAUUAAAAAACAGCAAAAACAAAGUUGUUAUUUUUGGAAACUUUUAUGAGAAUAAAGUCAAAGUUUUGUAAAUAACUAAAAAAAAUUAUUUGAAGGAGGAAAAAAUGUUUCAAUUUUCUGAGAAUAAAUUCCUAGUAGGAGGGAAAAUCAUGUUUUAAUAGAAUGAAAUUGAAAUAUUCAAGUAAAAAAUUAUUCAAAAAUUAGGUUGGGGGGUUAUAAUAAAUACACAGUAAGUACGAGAAUAAAGUCACAAUGCCAAAAUAAAAUAUAAAAGAUGAAGAAGAAAAUUUAAAAAACAGCAAAAACAAAGUUGUUAUUUUUGGAAAAGUAAGUUGUAGAAAAAGUUAUGAGAAUAAAGUCAAAGUAUUGUCAGUAAAUAAAUUAAAAUGUUUCAAUAUUCUGAGAAUAAAUUUCUAGUAGGAGGGAAAAUAAUGUUUUAGUCGCAUGAAGUUGAAAUAUUCAGGUAAAAAAAAUCCAUAAUUAUUCAAAAUUUAUGUUGGGUAAGAAGUUGUAUUAUGGGAGUAAAGUCAUCAUUAGGAGAGGAAAACACGCACACACAAUCCUAAGCAAUCCACAAGCAUGCAGGGAAUUGAAUGGCGAUCCGCUGGAGUUCUUCCCAUCCCAGCUUAUUUACACGUCCAGGAGCUCCUGUUUGAUUUUCCGCAUGAAGCGUCCGAUUCCCUCAGCACAGUGGUUAUGUGGGCAACACCUGUUGAUGGUCGGUAAUUAUGGCCCUUAAAGGGGAUGGAAAAACGGGAGAUCACAGGCCGGCAGGUGGAUGAGUGUUUUCUUUCCCGGCCUGCAACACGCUCACAUGGCAUGCCAACGCCAGAGUGCAGCUUUUAAAAAUGACUUCUCUUUUUUUUUUUUUAAAUGAGUCGUUACGGCACGUUGACGUGCGCUGACAGUCCUGUCUGGGUGGGGCGCCCCCUCUGAGGGUCACACUAACAUCAUCAAUCUUCUCCAUGGUGACAGGUGGCCAGGCCAACCCCAACCCCCCCCCCCCCCCCCCCCCCUACGGUGCGCUCAGCGCCGUGUUAUUUUCUAAUUAGGCAGGAAGGCAGGAAGCCAUGCCUCCUUGCGGCCUCACCUCUCUUGGACUGCAGCUGGCUGAGCUGUCGGCCCGAUGCUGCGACUCGUAAUGCCGUCGCUGAUGGUCCCGUGUUUGUGUUUGCCCGAGGUAUCAUGUGAAAUAGUCUGUUCCAGGGUCAAUAUGCGGCCAUGAUAAAAGCGGUGUUGGUUUAGCUGUAAAAAAGGCUGUUCCCUGUCCAAAGUGACGGUAAAAUGAAGAAUUGAUUGAUUGAUCCAACGCUAAGAAGAACAUGGCGGCCUCGCUGGGGUGCAACGUGCUAGCCGGUAGCCCGCCAUUGACCGAGGGGAAAUCAAUGCAUCAGCACGCCGUGUCAUAAUUCACCACUAAUGAAGUGCAAUGUCCGCCACAGACCGCGCUGCACUGGGCCGCCAAACACGGCAACGAGGACAUGGCCGCUCUGGUCGCCAACGCCGGCGCCGACGUCAACACCAAAUCGCACGUGAGUAUCCCGGCAGGAAGAGGCGGGUGCGUGGGCUUACAAACAAGACGGCGUCUCCGUGACGUCGGGCUCCUCGGCUCCUUAGCGAAGAUCCAGCUGUGCAAACGCGGGAGCACGAGGCUAAUAAAUCAUCACAUCAUGUCACGUUAAUUGUCUCCUAAACAGUGCGUCCUAUGUCCCAGCAUGCACCGCUGCAAUUUAGUGUGAUGACCAGCCAAUUAUGUUUUUAGCCGUAUUUGCUGUUUCCACCAGCCUUUCUAAUUUCUAUUUUCUUUCCUCGCCGCUUGCCCCGGCUGGGGGGCCGGGGGCCUGGGAAACUCCAGGGGGGUUACACGCCUUUGCACAUCGCCGCGCUGCACGGACAUUGCAACAUCCUGCACCUGCUCGUGGGGACUUACG